UCCUGGUGGCUCAGAGGUUAAAGCGUCUGCCUGCAAUGCGGGAGACCCAGGUUCAAUCCCUGGAUCGGGAA
rnacentral:tRNA from 1 species